GGAAUAUUGGUCAAUGGGCGCAAGCCUGAACCAGCCAUGCCGCGUGCAGGAUGAAAGCUCUCUGAGUUGUAAACUGCUUUUGUACAGGAGCAAAAAAGUCCCUGCGGGGAUUCUUGAGAGUACUGUAAGAAUAAGCACCGGCUAAUUCCGUGCCAGCAGCCGCGGUAAUACGGAAGGUGCAAGCGUUAUCCGGUUUUAUUGGGUUUAAAGGGUGCGUAGGCGGCUUAUUAAGUCAGUAGUGAAAUCCUAGUGCUUAACGCUAGAACUGCAAUUGAUACUAUUAGGCUUGAGUUAAGAAGAGGUAAGCAGAAUUUAUGGUGUAGUAGUGAAAUGCUUAGAUAUCAUAAGGAAUACCAAUAGCGUAGGCAGCUUACUGGUCUUUAACUGACGCUGAGGCACGAAAGCGUGGGGAGCAAACAGGAUUAGAUACCCUGGUAGUCCACGCCGUAAACGAUGAUCACUCGAUAUGCAUGAAACUUCGUGUGUGUCUAAGCGAAAGCGUUAAGUGAUCCACCUGGGAAGUAUACUCGCAAGGGUGAAACUCAAAGGAAUUGACGGGGGUCCGCACAAGCGGUGGAGUAUGUGGUUUAAUUCGAUAAUACGCGAGGAACCUUACCUGGGCUAGAAUGUAUUUUGCCACCUUGAGAAAUUAAGGGUUCCUUCGGGACGAAAUACAAGGUGCUGCAUGGCUGUCGUCAGCUCGUGCCGUGAGGUGUUGGGUUAAGUCCUAUAACGAGCGAAACCCUUUUACUUAAUUGCCAGCACGUAAUGGUGGGGACUUUAAGUAGACUGCCCGUGUAAGCGGGAGGAAGGAGAGGAUAAGGUCAAGUCAUCAUGGCCUUUAUGCCCAGGGCUACACACGUACUACAAUGGCAUGUACAAAGAGAAGCUACUUGGUAACAAGAUGCAAAUCUCAAAAGCAUGUCUCAGUUCGGAUUGAGGUCUGCAAUUCGACCUCAUGAAGUUGGAAUCGCUAGUAAUCGCGGAUCAGCAUGCCGCGGUGAAUACGUUCUCGGACCUUGUACACACCGCCCAUCAAGCCAUGGGAGUUGGUAGAGCUUGAAGACAGUGGCCGUAAAAGUAGCUGUUUAGUGUUAGACCAGCGACUGGGGCUAAGUUGUAACAAGGUAGCCGUACCGGAAGGUGCGGCUGG
rnacentral:rRNA from 1 species